UAGGGAAUCUUCCACAAUGGACGCAAGUCUGAUGGAGCAACGCCGCGUGAGUGAAGAAGGUUUUCGGAUCGUAAAGCUCUGUUGUUGGUGAAGAAGGAUAGAGGUAGUAACUGGCCUUUAUUUGACGGUAAUCAACCAGAAAGUCACGGCUAACUACGUGCCAGCAGCCGCGGUAAUACGUAGGUGGCAAGCGUUGUCCGGAUUUAUUGGGCGUAAAGCGAGCGCAGGCGGAAGAAUAAGUCUGAUGUGAAAGCCCUCGGCUUAACCGAGGAACUGCAUCGGAAACUGUUUUUCUUGAGUGGAGAAGAGGAGAGUGGAAUUCCAUGUGUAGCGGUGGAAUGCGUAGAUAUAUGGAAGAACACCAGUGGCGAAGGCGACUCUCUGGUCAGCAACUGACGCGGAGGCUCGAAAGCAUGGGUAGCGAACAGG
rnacentral:rRNA from 1 species